GACGAACGCUGGCGGCGUGCCUAAUACAUGCAAGUCGAACGCAGUGGGGACGGGUGAGUAACACGUGGGUAACCUCCCAUCAGAGGGGAUAACACUUGGAAACAGGUGCUAAACCGAUACUGAUGGAUGGACCAGCGGUGCAUUAGCUAGUUGGUGAGGUAACGGCGCACAAAGGCCACGAUGCAUAGCCGGCCUGAGAGGGUUAUUGUCCACACUGGGAUUUAGACCCGGCCCAGACUCCUACGUGAGGCAGCAGUAGGGAAUCUUGGGCAAUGGACGAAAGUCUGACCGAGCCACGCCGAGUGAUUGAAGAAGGUUGUCGGAUCGUAAAGCUCUGUUGUUAGUGAAGCGGUAUCUAACCAGAAAGCCACGGCUAACUACGUGCCAGCAGCCGCGGUAAUAC
rnacentral:rRNA from 1 species